GGGGAAUAUUGCACAAUGGGCGAAAGCCUGAUGCAGCAACGCCGCGUGAGUGAUGAAGGCCUUCGGGUUGUAAAGCUCUGUCUUCUGGGACGAUAAUGACGGUACCAGAGGAGGAAGCCACGGCUAACUACGUGCCAGCAGCAGCGGUAAUACGUAGGUGGCAAGCGUUGUCCGGAUUUACUGGGCGCAAAGGAUGCGUAGGCGGGUACUUAAGUCAGAUGUGAAAAUCCCGGGCUUAACCGGGGAACUGCAUUUGAAACUGGGUAUCUAGAGUGCGGGAGAGGAAAGUGGAAUUCCUAGUGUAGCGGUGAAAUGCGUAGAGAUUAGGAAGAACACCAGUGGCGAAGGCGACUUUCUGGACCGUAACUGACGCUGAGGCAUGAAAGCGUGGGGAGCAAACA
rnacentral:rRNA from 1 species